CGUCGCGCUACUUUUCAUAGUAACAACUAAAACAUCAAAACUGUGAUGGUGCAUGUGAAAUUUCAGGUUUCGUCCGCGGCGGCGGCGGCGGAUUUUUCUGGAUUUGAUUGUGACUCGCCAUAUUUAAGGCAUUCAAGAAAGGUAGAGGUCGCCGCUUGCAUCGCCGAUUGCUUGGAUUUGGACUUUGAGGCGACGGAGAAAAAUUGCAGCUACAACUUAAACACGGGAAAACUCAUCUUGAAAUACGAAAAUUUUCAGGAAGACGGAUGUCCGAAAUGCAUUCUCGAUAGGAAAAAUUUCAAAGCGUACAAGUCAGCUUUAGGUUUUGGUAAGGGGCUUUGAAAUUCUUUUAAAAACAUUUUAUAC